rnacentral:rRNA from 1 species
UAACGAUGAAGAGUUUGAUCCUGGCUCAGGAUGAACGCUAGCGGCAGGCUUAACACAUGCAAGUCGAGGGGUAACAUGAGUGCUUGCACUUGAUGACGACCGGCGCACGGGUGCGUAACGCGUAUACAAUCUGCCUUUUGCUGUGGGAUAGCCCAGAGAAAUUUGGAUUAAUACCGCAUAGUAUAUAGGAGUGGCAUCACUACUAUAUUAAAGAUUACGGCAAAAGAUGAGUAUGCGUUCUAUUAGCUAGAUGGUGUGGUAACGGCACA